AGGUGGAAUUUGUGCUACUGAUUUAUUUGUGUUAAUGAAGCUGGACAAAUCCCAUUAAGCAUUGGUAACAAUGAGUUAAAAUGCAUCAGGACCUAGCCUAGCUGUGCGUGUUGUAUAUUUAUCUUGGCUUCUUGUAAGGAAAGUUGGGUGUUUUUCAUGAAGGCAGGUUUGGCAUAUGCCCCAUAGACUGACUUAAUACAAUAGAUAGAUUGUUUUGCAUGCCUGUGGGCUAUGAAGGUCUUGGGCCCAAAUGGCUUCCCACAGUAGAGUAACUAAUGAGCAGGGCAUCAGCCCCAGGCACUGACUGUGAGAGGGCACCAGAAUCUCUGUGCACCCUUCCCCCCCACAUCUUCAGUGGUAGGCAUACCUCUGUUCCCCUCCCUUUCCCACCCUGGGCACUCAAUUUGCUCCCCACAGCCAAAACCCUUCUUCUGAAUAGGGCACAAUGUGCAGAUCAAAUGCUACUCAGGAGCUGCUGCCCAGACAUGAACUACACUGAUGGACAGCUCCAUAGCAUUCAGCAGGGAAGGGCUGCAAUAUUAAGACUUAUGCCAGGAAGCUGAAAAGAAACAUGCAAGGCCUGCCACAAGAGCAGAAGGUGACUAUGUGUGGUGCAAAGGUGCAGCUGGUGAAUCCUCCAUGGCUACAGAAUUGGAUUAACACCCCUCUUGGAGUCCCUUCCAGCUCUGUGAAUCUAGGAAGAAGAACAUUUACUCCCCAAGAAAUGGGGGGUGCAUCUUGGGAGCAACUUGCUUUCUUUUGUGGCAUGAAGAUGGAGCUGGGUUGCUAGGUAAGAGAGGCCUAUGCAUGCUGGCAGAGUACUGCAAUAUGUGAAUUCAUGGGCUGACCCUGUGUGGGGGACAUCGGGAGACAUGGCUGGUGUUCUAAUCGUGCCUGACUAACCCUGGAUCCUGAGACCUCCUGCUAGUAAAGAGCUGGGAUGGGCAAGCGAUCAACUGGAAACGCAGAGGGAUACUCGUAAGACAAAGAGAACGUGGCGCAAACAUUGGUCCAGUGCACGUGAGGAGUGAGUCACCAUGCGCUCCAGUCCAUCACUGGCAAUCAUUUCUGUUUCAGGCUGUAGGCCCUCAAAUUACUGCCAUUAAGGCUGUGCAGCAGUGGGAAGUGUGUGUGGGUUGGCUGAACGGGGGGAGUAGAUGAGCUUCGAUGGCAUUUUAAGGCCUGACGUAGCUGCACAGCUAUAAAUCUCAAUGACUCUUAGAAACAAACACACCAAGGCUAGAGAUGCAAAGCACAGAGGUGGUACUAGCUGCAGAGGGGCCCACACUGAUACCCCUGGGAGGCUGGCAGCAGUUAUUUUAUUGGAUUUAUAGGUUGGAGGAGUCUGAGGGAAAGCAGAUAGAUCAGCCCAGCAAAGAAUGUUUUCUGGAGUGCAGAGAAGAGGAGGUGGAGUGGUUGCCAGUCCAUCCUCAUGUGGGGGGAAUUGCUUACGUGGGAAUUGCUCAGGGAACACAUUGGAAGGUAAAGUGGGUGACGUGUUACGUCUUUAACUUGGCUUGUGGCCAUCUGCUGAUAUUCAGGUCUUUCAGCAUUCAGAAUAACCUGCCAUUGCCCCGUGGAGGGUGACUGGAUCCCUCAUGGCCAGUGGUUCAUUCAUCUCUGGCCAGUUCCCACCUGGCCUGCAUUCACCUUCCAGAGCACAUGGGCUUUAGCACAUCAGUAGCCAGAGCCUUAGAGAGCUGGACCCCUGAUCUGCCCCAUAGCCUCUCCACACCCUUGAGGGGUUAGUACUAGUGAUGAGCACAUGGACCGUGACAGUGUGGAGCAGAGAUGGGAAAGACCAGAGGCAGCAAAUUCAUGUGGAUCAAGUCCCAGCAGUGGGACAUGUGCUAGGGGCAGGGACGUAUAGAAGGAGUAGAGCAUCUGAAAGAAAAUGGGGGCUGUAAGAAGCAUCUGUGGCAGCCCAGACAGGCUGCCACUCUGUGGUUUGGGUCAGGUGGUUUUAAGCCCCCUGGCUCCAGUCGUCCAGAUGGAUGCAGGAGGAGGAAUAACCCCCCGGCGAUGCUUGCAGACUGGCUACGAAGAGUCCGACCCACUCUGAACAGCAGGGUCCUGCAUGGCAAGUAAAAAUCGGAGAGGGAAGGCAGCCUUUAAAGUUCUCCUGCACUUCAGCGCAUCCCCUUCUUUGAGUCCCUCCUGGAGCACUCAGCCCACGGGGCCAGUCUGUGGAUCAACGCUAGUCUGGCUUGCAGGGGUAUUGAUGACAGAGCAAGGAAAACCCCUGGCUGCACUAAGCUGGGAAAUCAAGCUGGCUGGAGCUCUGAGAACAGCACAUCGCCUCUUCCUGAGCUGACAGCUCCCCACUCCCCAACACAGGUGAAGAGCUGGAGACAUUUAAGGUUUAAGAUACUAGAGGCAUAAGGAGGGACCUGAAACUACCACCCACAGUGCCAUGAGCAGUGCUAGACGUGCUGCCCCCCUGACCUGCCAUCCUUGGACCCCGCCUGUAUCCGAUGGCCAGCGCUGGCUGUGGUUGUGACCAAGUGCCCCCCUUUGGCAAUGCCCAGAAAAAAGGGCUGGUCACAUCCAUCCUGCAGGAGGCUCAGAGGGCUCUUGCUUACAUCCUGGUCAUCUAUUCUCUCUUGCUUGGGGGGCUUCUGUGUGCUGGCCUGAUCCUGCAGUACCUGGUGGCAGGGUGAGUAGAGGCACUGCCACAACCCCAUUGUGGGGGCAGGUCCCACCUGCUUUGCUCAGUGACGCCCCCCCACAUGGUGCUGUCCAGUCAUGAUGGGAAGGGAUCAGUGCUAGUAAACUCAUCCCCCCCUGCAGGGAUUGGUGCCAAUGCCCACACCAUGGGGCAAUCUGUCUCCCUCUAACGGCCGCUGCUAUAGAGCAGUGAUGGUGUCAGGGCUGGUUCUAGUAGCAGCUCCUGCUUGUAGACCCAGUAGUCCCAGGCUCAGUUCCCCCUGCUGAUGACCUUGGCAGGGGUUUUAGUUGGCUCCUGCUGCUCAGGAGGGCUAGGAUUGCACUGUAUGAGCACUGGACAUGUCAAAGAUGGAAGCAUUCAGCGGGGAACAGUGAAUGAUGUGUGUGCACAGCACUGGCAUGACAGCAUCUGGAUUUUGGUUACUGCCAAUGAUACUGUUGACUGUGGACACUGCCUCUCUUGAAAGAGAGACCUGCAAGUGCCAUUAUGCUGCCCUAGAUGCUGCAUUAUUCAUCAAGGAUGUUUUGUGAGACCUGGGACAGGGACAGAAACCUUCUGCAGCAUUUCUUCCCUCCUCCAUCCCUCAUUGUCCUCAUCCCCCUUCACAGACUAGCAUUAACCUUCCUCCUGUGAGAUGGACUACAGUGGCUCUAUGAGGCAGACUGCAAUGAUCAUUUGCUUCAAUAAAGCUGUGAAGAAAGGAUGAUAAGGGGCCUGAGCUCUCCGAUAGCUGCACAUUGGCUAAGCAUGGUAUGAAUAGGGAGCGUUGUUGCAUUGGCUCCUACCGUGUGGGCUGGGGAUGUUGGCUUUGCCCUUGCUUGCGCUGUUGGAGGUUCUGGGCUCAGAAGCUGCCCUCCUCUUGUUCCUUUUAGGUGCCUUUCUCUGGUGGUUUUCCCCUCCUGCCAGAAGUGAGGAGGAUUCACAGGGCCUCAGCUCUCAUAAUAUCAUGCAGCCACAUAACAGAGCAUGCUGCUCCUUCGGUUUGCUUCUCAUUUGUUCAGGCUGGGCUUGACAGCCCUACAAAAUGCAGACCUGCUUACCCAAAAGAGAAGCCCAGGCCAUCAGCGGGCCCUCUCUAUGCUGCUGACAUCCCCUGGGUUUUCCCUCAAGGGCAGCCCAUUUUCCAUCCUGAGUCUGCCCUGCUCUUGAACAAAGAAGCCUUCAACAGUGGCUCCAAACGGACUAUUGAGGUCACUUGGCACAUGGAGUCUUCCUAGAUUUAACAGCCCCCAGAUCACACACCCACCCAUGUCUGUGGAGGCAGGACCAUCAUCCUGUGCUACGGAUUGGUCUGUAGUGCAAACCAUGUCCAGGAAGCCAGAGAUUUUCCCUCAAACCUCCCCGUCACUGAACUUGCCUGGCUGUUUUUCAGAUAAGGUGGAACGAGGCCCAGGAGAGAAUGAGCUGCCUUCUGCACCUGUCCUUUGCUUACCAGAGAAGCAGUAUCUUGCAGGGAAGGUCUACUCCAUUGCAGCAGAGGGCAUAGCCAUCACCCACUGCUUCUGCUCCAUCCUCAAACCUACGCAAGAGGCAAUGAGGAUGCUUCAGGUAUGACCCAAGCCACUACCCUUGAGCACGUCACAAACCCAGGCUUUCAGCAUAAUGCUAGGGCUGGCUUACACCAGGCUGAUUGAUAUGGAGCAGGAGCGACUGGACCUUUUUUCCCUCAACAGCAAGAUCCUGUACCCUGCUCCCAAUGUAGACAUCCC